GUAUAUUAGUGCCCAGCACAACAUUAUUUCAUUACAUUCGUGUUUGUGUAAAUCCUCUACCAGCCGAAGCCAGCAAAGGCCAAUGGUUCACAAGAGGGUGUUGGAUAUAUGCCCCCAACGUGCACAUGCUCUUGCAGGAGCCAGCACUGAAGGAAAGACAAUUUCACAUCAUUAAUGAUCCUUCCGCAGGUUCACCUACGGAAA
rnacentral:misc_RNA from 1 species